rnacentral:rRNA from 1 species
UACGGAGGGAGCUAGCGUUGUUCGGAAAUACUGGGCGUAAAGCGCACGUAGGCGGCGCAGCAAGUCAGGGGUGAAAUCCCGGGGCUCAACCCCGGAACUGCCUCUGAAACUGCAGUGCUAGAAUCUUGGAGAGGCGAGUGGAAUUCCGAGUGUAGAGGUGAAAUUCGUAGAUAUUCGGAAGAACACCAGUGGCGAAGGCGACUCACUGGACAUGUAUUGACGCUGAGGUGCGAAAGCGUGGGGAGCAAACAGG